AUUGGACCGCGAAUCCAAAUGUAUGCAAAUCGGAUAGGUGUGUUUGGCACAACAUCACCAAUCCGCAGAACAGAAAACUAGGGUUAAUCCAUACGCCUCCCACAACAAAACACCAAAUGGCCCACUUCCUCCGGAGCCCAAAACGGAGACGUCGUGGACUAAUCACACCGCCACAGAAAGUGUCAUGUCUCUCGUGCCAAGACGACAUGCCUGUGGUACC
rnacentral:lncRNA from 1 species